UACGGAGGAUGCAAGCGUUAUCCGGAAUGAUUGGGCGUAAAGCGUCCGCAGGUGGCUAUGUAAGUCUGCUGUUAAAGAGUGAGGCUCAACCUCAUAAGAGCAGUGGAAACUACAUGGCUAGAGUGCGUUCGGGGCAGAGGGAAUUCCUGGUGUAGCGGUGAAAUGCGUAGAUAUCAGGAAGAACACCCGUGGCGAAGGCGGCUCUCUGGAACGCAACUGACGCUGAGACGCGAAAGCGUGGGGAGCAAACAGG
rnacentral:rRNA from 1 species